AGAUUGAACGCUGGCGGCAUGCUUUACACAUGCAAGUCGAACGGGCGUGUUGGGGCAACCUGGCAGUCAGUGGCGGACGGGUGAGUAAUGCAUCGGAACGUGUCCCGUAGUGGGGGAUAACCCGGCGAAAGCCGGACUAAUACCGCAUAUGCUCUACGGAGGAAAGCGGGGGACCUGAAAGGGCCUCGCGCUAUGGGAGCGGCCGAUGUCCGAUUAGCUUGUUGGUGGGGUAAUGGCCUACCAAGGCGACGAUCGGUAGCUGGUCUGAGAGGAUGAUCAGCCACACUGGGACUGAGACACGGCCCAGACUCCUACGGGAGCAGCAGUGGGGAAUUUGGACAAGUGGGGCAACCGUGAUCCAGCCAUGCCGCGUGCGGGAAGAAGG
rnacentral:rRNA from 1 species